rnacentral:rRNA from 1 species
UACGAAGGGGGCUAGCGUUGUUCGGAAUCACUGGGCGUAAAGCGUACGUAGGCGGACGAAUAAGUCAGGGGUGAAAGCCUGGAGCUCAACUCCAGAACUGCCUUUGAUACUGUUCGUCUUGAGUCCGGGAGAGGUGAGUGGAACUGCUAGUGUAGAGGUGAAAUUCGUAGAUAUUAGCAAGAACACCAGUGGCGAAGGCGGCUCACUGGCCCGAUACUGACGCUGAGGCACGAAAGCGUGGGGAGCAAACAGG